GCGGGGGUUGCCCAGCUAGGUCAAAGGCGUUGGGUUUAGGUCCCAAUCUCGAAGGAGUUCGUGCGUUCAAAUCGCGCCCCCCGCACCA
rnacentral:tRNA from 1 species